UCCUCUCAUUCUUCCAACGUCCUAUCUCUCUCACUCCUCUCAAGAAAGAAAUCAAAAAGUCCCCCCAUCUUCUACUUCUAGGGUUUUGGUUCUAGGGUUCAAUCAAGUUCUUGGAGCAAGAUUCAAUCUCAAAUCCAUCUCUGACCCAAGUGUUUGAAGCUCUCUCAAUCCAUGAUUUAAACCUAAAAGAGGAUUUGGUGAUUAAGCAAAGGAUACAAGGGAUACAAGUUGAUGUUUAGUUGAAGUGCAAAGGAAGGUGAUGAAGUAUGAUAGCUUAUAGGUGCAAUGUUUUGUGCAAGUUUGGGCUUCAUGGAAUCGUUUUGCAUAUAGAAAUGAAGUAGAAAGAAGACAUGUAUUUUUGGGCAUAUUUUGUACUUGUUCCCCUUAUGAUCAAGGAUG